CACCAGGCUACAAAGUCCUCCACCACCUGCCUGGACUCUCUCUCCUCUCCCUCUCUGAUGCAGGCCACAAUAGCUGUGUCAUCUGAAAACUCAGAUGUAUACAGUGUGAAUAGAGCAGGAGACAGUACAGUCCCCUGGUGGGCUCCCACACUGCAGCUUAGGGUGCUGGAGAUGUUUUGUCCCAUGCGGACUUACUGUGGCCUGUUGUUUAAAUAGUCCACGAUCCAGGACACCAGGAGUGACUCCACACUCAUCCCAAUGAGCUUCUCCUGCAGCAGGUGAGGCUGGAUGGUAUUCAAAGCGCAGGAGAAAU